rnacentral:rRNA from 1 species
CUACGGGAGGCAGCAGUGGGGAAUCUUAGACAAUGGGGGCAACCCUGAUCUAGCCAUGCCGCGUGAGUGAUGAAGGCCUUAGGGUCGUAAAGCUCUUUCGCCUGUGAUGAUAAUGACAGUAGCAGGUAAAGAAACCCCGGCUAACUCCGUGCCAGCAGCCGCGGUAAUACGGAGGGGGUUAGCGUUGUUCGGAAUUACUGGGCGUAAAGCGCGCGUAGGCGGAUUAGAAAGUUGGGGGUGAAAUCCCGGGGCUCAACCCCGGAACUGCCUCCAAAACUGCUAGUCUAGAGUUCGAGAGAGGUGAGUGGAAUUCCGAGUGUAGAGGUGAAAUUCGUAGAUAUUCGGAGGAACACCAGUGGCGAAGGCGGCUCACUGGCUCGAUACUGACGCUGAGGUGCGAAAGUGUGGGGAGCAAACAGGAUUAGAUACCCUGGUAGUCCACACCGUAAACGAUGAACGCCAGUCGUCGGGUAGUAUACUAUUCGGUGACACACCUAACGGAUUAAGCAUUCCGCCUGGGGAGUACGGUCGCAAGAUUAAAACUCAAAG